rnacentral:rRNA from 1 species
GAUGAACGCUGGCGGCGCGCCUAACACAUGCAAGUCGAACGAUUAAAGCACCUUCGGGUGUGUAUAAAGUGGCGAACGGCUGAGUAACACGUGGGCAACCUGCCCCUUUCAUUGGGAUAGCCACGGGAAACCGUGGAUAAUACCGAAUACUUCGAGACUUCCGCAUGGAAGACUCGAGAAAGCUCCGGCGGAGAGGGAUGGGCCCGCGGCCUGUUAGCUUGUUGGUGGGGUAACGGCCUACCAAGGCAAUGAUGGGUAGCUGGGUUGAGAGACCGACCAGCCAGAUUGGGACUGAGACACGGCCCAGACUCCUACGGGAGGCAGCAGUGGGGAAUCUUGCACAAUGGGCGAAAGCCUGAUGCAGCGACGCCGCGUGCGGGAUGAAGGCCUUAGGGUUGUAAACCGCUUUCAGCAGGGACGAGGCGAAAGUGACGGUACCUGCAGAAGAAGCCCCGGCUAACUACGUG